AUGAACGCUAGCGACAGGCUUAACACAUGCAAGUCGAGGGGCAGCACAGGUAGCAAUACCGGGUGGCGACCGGCGCACGGGUGAGUAACGCGUAUGCAACUUGCCUAUCAGAGGGGGAUAACCCGGCGAAAGUCGGACUAAUACCGCAUGAAGCAGGGAUCCCGCAUGGGAAUAUUUGCUAAAGAUUCAUCGCUGAUAGAUAGGCAUGCGUUCCAUUAGGCAGUUGGCGGGGUAACGGCCCACCAAACCGACGAUGGAUAGGGGUUCUGAGAGGAAGGUCCCCCACAUUGGUACUGAGACACGGACCAAACUCCUACGGGAGGCAGCAGUGAGGAAUAUUGGUCAAUGGCCGAGAGGCUGAACCAGCCAAGUCGCGUGAGGGAUGAAGGUUCUAUGGAUCGUAAACCUCUUUUAUAAGGGAAUAAAGUGCGGGACGUGUCCCGUUUUGUAUGUACCUUAUGAAUAAGGAUCGGCUAACUCCGUGCCAGCAGCCGCGGUAAUACGGAGGAUCCGAGCGUUAUCCGGAUUUAUUGGGUUUAAAGGGUGCGUAGGCGGCCUUUUAAGUCAGCGGUGAAAGUCUGUGGCUCAACCAUAGAAUUGCCGUUGAAACUGGGAGGCUUGAGUAUGUUUGAGGCAGGCGGAAUGCGUGGUGUAGCGGUGAAAUGCUUAGAUAUCACGCAGAACCCCGAUUGCGAAGGCAGCCUGCCAAGCCAUUACUGACGCUGAUGCACGAAAGCGUGGGGAUCAAACAGGAUUAGAUACCCUGGUAGGCCACGCAGUAAACGAUGAUCACUAGCUGUUUGCGAUACACUGUAAGCGGCACAGCGAAAGCGUUAAGUGAUCCACCUGGGGAGUACGCCGGCAACGGUGAAACUCAAAGGAAUUGACGGGGGCCCGCACAAGCGGAGGAACAUGUGGUUUAAUUCGAUGAUACGCGAGGAACCUUACCCGGGUUUGAACGCAUUCGGACCGAGGUGGAAACACCUUUUCUAGCAAUAGCCGUUUGCGAGGUGCUGCAUGGUUGUCGUCAGCUCGUGCCGUGAGGUGUCGGCUUAAGUGCCAUAACGAGCGCAACCCUUGCCACUAGUUACUAACAGGUAAAGCUGAGGACUCUGGUGGGACUGCCAGCGUAAGCUGCGAGGAAGGCGGGGAUGACGUCAAAUCAGCACGGCCCUUACAUCCGGGGCGACACACGUGUUACAAUGGCGUGGACAAAGGGAGGCCACCUGGUGACAGGGAGCGAAUCCCCAAACCACGUCUCAGUUCGGAUCGGAGUCUGCAACCCGACUCCGUGAAGCUGGAUUCGCUAGUAAUCGCGCAUCAGCCAUGGCGCGGUGAAUACGUUCCCGGGCCUUGUACACACCGCCCGUCAAGCCAUGGGAGCCGGGGGUACCUGAAGUCCGUAACCGCGAGGAUCGGCCUAGGGUAAAACUGGUGACUGGGGCU
rnacentral:rRNA from 1 species